rnacentral:rRNA from 1 species
CAGCCGCCGCGGUAAUACGUAGGGUGCAAGCGUUAAUCGGAAUUACUGGGCGUAAAGCGUGCGCAGGCGGUUCGUCAAGACAGAUGUGGAAUCCCCGGGCUUAACCUGGGAACUGCAUUUGUGACUGGCGGGCUAGAGUAUGGCAGAGGGGGGGUAGAAUUCCACGUGUAGCAGUGAAAUGCGUAGAGAUGUGGAGGAAUACCGAUGGCGAAGGCAGCCCCCUGGGCCAAUACUGACGCUCAUGCACGAAAGCGUGGGGAGCAAACAGGAUUAGAUACCCGUGUAGUCCCUGUCUCUUAUA